UGUAAAGUGGCUGAGUUAAAAGCGGUGGAUUGUAAAUCUGCUUACAGAAAGUUUUCUCUUUAUUA
rnacentral:tRNA from 1 species